AGGGGUUCUUCUGCAGAUUGUGGGGUAUAUGGUAAUGACAUAUUUGCAUAAUCAGUUUACUGUAAUUCCCGGACACUAAUUGAGAGAGCAUGAAAACUACUGUAGUUAGUUUGACACUUAUUAGUUAGUUAAAAGUUAGUGAAAAAUAUUAUAAAUAUUAUUACAAAAUAUUUAUUAAAAUAGUUAAAAGUAGGCCGAAUGGAUGUAUGUUUGAAAUAGUUAGCUGGCAUAAAAGUAUAUCGCUAAACGAUUGAGAUAGUUAACUAAAAGUAAUAGAAAAACACUUGAAAUAGAUAGCUAAAAUAAACGGAUAAACAUUUGAAAUAGUCAGCUUAGAGUAACAGAUAUAUGUUGUAAAUAGUUAUUCAAAAGUGACGAACAAAUGGUUGAAUUAUGUAACCGUAUUUGAUAAAUGGUGAAAAAGACUUCAUAGUAAAAGCACAAAUGUAUUUUUGUAAUGUUUGUGGAGUCACACUGAUAGGAAAUAAUGAUUUCAUUCAUCCCUUUAGAAUUCAUCCUGUUUUGGAAAUGAACUCUGCAUGUCUGAUAUUAAACCAUUGUAACUUUUUCCCCAAACAUUUUUCAUGAAAAUAGACAUUUUGUUUCCCUUACAGUUUCUUCACAAAGACAGGAAAAGCUGGUUUCGGUCUGAAGUGAAAGGUGUCAUUUCCUGGAUUCAGGGUGGGAGAGAGAGUUGAUCUUGUGAUGAGCUGAAAUAGAACCACAAGAAGUUUUUCCCCCCAUUGUCUGCGUGCUCCAAACAUGUGCUUCAACACCUGUUUGUUAAAGAUGAGACCGUCAUGAGUGCCUCUCCUGCUGAACAAUCACUGUACGUAAAAAUCUAAAAUUCUCACCUUUACACCUACACCUUGAUACGACACAUAAAGUUAGCAUUAAGAUGACGAACACCGUGAUCCAGACAACCCGGUACA